CCUACGGGUGGCAGCAGUAGGGAAUCUUCCACAAUGGGCGAAAGCCUGAUGGAGCAACGCCGCGUGGGUGAAGAAGGUCUUCGGAUCGUAAAACCCUGUUGUUAGAGAAGAAAGUUCGUGAGAGUAACUGUUCACGUUGCGACGGUCUCUAACCAGAAAGCCACGGCUAACUACGUGCCAGCAGCCGCGGUAAUACGUAGGUGGCAAGCGUUAUCCGGAUUUAAUGGGCGUAAAGUGCACGCAGGCGGUCUUGUAAGUCUGAUGUGAAAGCCUUCGGCUUAACCGGAGUAGGGCAUUGGAAACUGGGAGACUUGAGUGCAGGAGAGGAGAGUGGAAGUCCGUGUGUAGCGGUGAAAUGCGUAGAUAUUAGGAAGAACACCAGUGGCGAAGGCGGCUCUCUGGUCUGUAACUGACGCUGAGGUUCGAAAGCGUGGGUAGCAAACAGGAUUAGAUACCCGGGUAGUC
rnacentral:rRNA from 1 species